AUUUCAUUAGUAAAAGUUUUUAUUAUAUUAUCUUGAUAAGGUAAAGUUCUUAGGAUGAAAUA
rnacentral:tRNA from 1 species